UGGGAGAGAAACCAAGCGAUGAGUGGGACUUGUCACGUGUGGCUGUUGAUGCUUUAGGUGCUGCUAUGUUGGUAACGAUCAUUCUUGAUCUGUGGCGUCUCUUCUUGGGACCUAUAGUUCCCCUACCGGAGGGACAAAACUGCCUUCAGUCUGGUUUACCAUGGUUCUCCCGGUGAAUGGUAAUUCAUGGCUGCUUCGACCAAGUCAUGGACCGAUAGAGAAACCUGAGAAAGAGUUUCCGUAAACACUUUAUGGAAAGAAAUUAAUGCGAGGUUUUUUUGGUAAUGUUUCUGAGGUUUUUCUUAUUCCUUUUGACUGCUUGCCUUUGUUAUAUUUUUCUUCAGCUUUCUUUGUUAUAUUUUGGUAACGAAACCUUGAAGUUAUCAUUUAACCAAACAGAAUGGAAGUUUUUGUUGUUGUUGUGAAAUCAAUUUAUUGGUUCAUAACUGGUGAAGUAUCAUCGCAUGAAGCCGCUAAGGGCUUUUCUUACUAUAACCAAAUCAUAAUUUCACAUCAACUUUUUCGUAGAAAAUGUAGUUGGUUGACAUUGAGAUGACACACAAGAUCUAGCCUACGAUUGUUAAUGAGUCCGUUGAAGACAACGAUUCAGAUUCACUCUGUUAGGGACGUUUUCGUGACGAUGGCAAAUUCCAGAUCAAAUUUGGGUUCGAUUUAAUUUUUGCACAGUCCCCAACACACAACAGGUUAAGUGAUACAGUGAGUUUCAAUUACCUGGACUGUCACGUCCUAAUUAAUUUAUUCUCAAUUUAAAUAGAAAGCCUAUUUAAAAAGAGGGAAAAAAAACUAGAAUAUUUGAGAGAAUGGUCCGUAGAGUGAUGAUGUGACAAAUGAUUAAAUAAAUCUUAAAAUGAGAAAGCGGAUCUAGUUUUCGUCAAAAUCACGAGAGUACAUGUGCCACGUCAGCAGUCUCAAUGAGGAUUUAUUUGAUUGCUCGUACAAAGGAGGAACCUCUCUCUCUCUCACACUCGCACUCUCUCUUUUAAGUCAACCAUCGUUUUCUCCAGAUCCGGCGGAGCCAUUAUCUUCACAGGGAUUAUUACUAUGUCAGGUAACGCAUCUGGUCAGCGUCUCAUCUUCUUUACCUGAUUCUCAUUAACAUAAAAAUGGGUUUGGAUAGGAACGAGUUCAGGGAGCUUGUGGUUGGCAGCGAACCCGAGCAAGAGAUGGGGAGAGCUCUUCUUCCUCUUCUACACUCCUUUCUGGCUCACUCUCUCCUUGGGCAUCGUUGUUCCUUACAAGCUCUACGAGGUCCCCUUCUUUUAUUAAAAGUUGGAAUCUUUCACUUUUCUUUGAUUAGAAAAUGGAAUCUUCUAUUCAUAUUCAUCAACAGACAUUCACGGAGCUGGAGUAUCUGCUUCUCGCCUUGGUUUCAGCUCUUCCCGCUUUCCUCAUACCCAUGUUACUUGUUGGAAAGGUACAUCCUUUUGUUGAUAACACUGCUUCUUCAACUAUAAGCUAAUGUCUGGUUUGUAUACGACCAUGCUUACCCUCCACUUCUUUAACAUAGUUUAUGCAUUUUGCUUCAGGCCGACAGAAGCUUACCCUGGAAGGACCGUUAUUGGGUUAAGGCAAGCGUUUUUUCUUCCCUGUCUCAGUCUCAGUCUCAGUCUCAUCCAUAGCUUUAUUUAUUACCACAGGCGAAUCUCUGGAUAAUUAUUUUCAGCUAUGUGGGAAACUACUUCUGGACUCACUAUUUCUUUCAAGUUCUUGGAGCCUCCUAUACAUUCCCGUCCUGGAAAAUGAAUAACGUAAUUAGCACAAAACCUCGGCUUUGUCUUGUUUCCGUGAGCUCAUCAUGACAUGUGUCCAACAGGUGCCUCACACAACAUUCUUCAUGACGCAUGCUUGCUUCCUCUUUUACCACGUUGCGUCCAACAUCACUCUCCGAAGGCUACGACAUUCCAUUGCUGGUUUACCAGAUUCUCUUAGAUGGUCUUUUGAGGCUGCUUGGAUUCUGGCGCUUUCUUAUUUCAUUGCUUACCUGGAGACUGUUGCUAUUGCCAAUGUAUGUCAUCUCUUUGAUAGCUCAGAGAAGAUUACAUCUUUAGUUUUCUGUUUCUAGCAUAAAAACCAACUUACUUCGUGCCUGAUCAAGUGAUAGCUUAUAUCUGGUUAAAGGUCAAAUGAUACUUAAAUCAUUCUUUUUUUUUUCUUUUUUUUUAAACAUGUGCAGUUUCCUUACUAUGAGUUUGUGGACCGAAGUGCCAUGUACCAAGUUGGAUGUUUGUUCUAUGCCAUCUACUUCAUUGUCAGCUUCCCAAUGUUCUUCAGGUAAUGAAACGCCUCAAACAUAUAGUUUCAUAUAUAUAUUCUUAGUUUGUUGAUUUUUUUAAUCUCAUAGUAGCACUGGAUCUUUAUAGUGCCAAGACUGUUGCGUAUCAAAGGUGGUCUUAGUGUUAUCAUCUCUGGAUUUUUCUUCAUCUACCAUUCUUAUACAAAUUUUUGUUCUUUUAUUUGUUUUGAGAAUACAUAAACUCCUUUUUCAUAUGCUUUUCAUUUGAUGGUGGGGUUUUGUAGGAUGGGAGAGAAACCAAGCGAUGAGUGGGACUUGUCACGUGUGGCUGUUGAUGCUUUAGGUGCUGCUAUGUUGGUAACGAUCAUUCUUGAUCUGUGGCGUCUCUUCUUGGGACCUAUAGUUCCCCUACCGGAGGGACAAAACUGCCUUCAGUCUGGUUUACCAUGGUUCUCCCGGUGAAUGGUAAUUCAUGGCUGCUUCGACCAAGUCAUGGACCGAUAGAGAAACCUGAGAAAGAGUUUCCGUAAACACUUUACGGAAAGAAAUUAAUGCGAGGUUUUUUGGUAAUGUUUCUGAGGUUUUUCUUAUUCCUUUUGACUGCUUGCCUUUGUUAUAUUUUUCUUCAGCUUU
rnacentral:lncRNA from 1 species